CUGUAUCAAAGGAAGUAUGGAUAUGUGUAGUCCAGUCACAACAACAGUAAACGGGGCGGUGUACCUCCAUUCUCCCGGCUUCCCUGACAGUGUCGGUGUGAACAGCAGCUGUGUUGUUAGGAUCACAGGGCAGACUUUACAAGUAGCAUUGGUGGAACAGCGGAUGAGGUCGGGGAUGCUUAACAUCUCAGGUGAUGGGAGACAACUCUGGACAAACGUGAACCUGAACCAAUACAACAGGGUAUUACCGGUGCCAGCUGCCGAAAUAGUUAUAGUCUACAAUAACCAUGAUCAGGAUGGAUCAAACGUAUGGAUACGUGUUGCAGAUUCAGGUCAAAUGAAUAUUACGGUCAGCGGAGAAAUACUGGAUGCAUCAACCACAUCAACGUCAACACAUCAGCCGCCACGUUCACAGAGUACAUCUGGUCCAAGUACUUCGGACACAACAACUGUAACGACGGCACGUGCACAAUAUACAUCUAUUG